GUGCAAGAGAAGAGAAGCCCAAAAGUCAGAGCGGUUACCCGGUUUUCCUGGGAAUGCUUGUCAAGUCCAGCACCGCGAGGCGGCCGCGCAGGCUGACGCCCGGACUGCAGACCUCGCAGGGCUCCUCUGGAGCUUCCUGCAGCUCUUGGGACUGCCGACGAGGAGAAAUGCACUCUGAAGAUUUGAUGGCAGGAUCUGGAGAUAGUUUUGGUCUGGCAGUAUGCAACUUCUCUGAUGGACGCUGAUCUUCUGAGAGCUGGGUGUGGUGAUUUAUGAAGGUGAGGAGAGUAAGAAGGCAUAAUUCUGCAUAAUUCAUUUAGAAAUUGUGUCUAAAUAGUGUUUGGGAAAUGGAAAAGACUGCUGUCUGGGGAAGGAGAAGGAUUUCUGGUAAGCAUCAAUGCCCAGUAAAGAGCUGGAUGACUAGCUCAGAUCAUACAGCAGGUACAUGGUGCCAGAAACAUGUUCACUGUAAAAGCUGAAAGAAGAGUCCUAUAUUUGUCUUCUGUAGGCUCUCAGAGUAGGGAGG